rnacentral:tRNA from 1 species
ACCUGGUUGGCUCAGUCGGUGGAGCAUGAGACUCUUGAUCUUGGGGUUAUGAGUUCAAGACCCACAUUAGGUG